rnacentral:sRNA from 1 species
AUCAAGACAACAGAAGCCAUGGUUGGUCUGUCUUCUGGUUUUUGUU